AUGGUUCAGCGUGAGCAAGUGGUAGUCUCCCACCGGAUAAGCCACCAUGCCACGCGUGUCUGGUGUGUGUGGGUUUGGCUAUGCGCGUGUCCUCUCAUGGGGGCAUCCACUCAGUUCAGCUCUGGACAGAGGAGACUGGCGAUUUGGAUCUGCCGUAGUGUUGUUCUGGCCGUCUUGGGCGAGGAGGUUCUGUCCAUCGGUGCUGCUUUCCCCCGGCUGCUUCUUGGGCGGAGGAGGUUCCGGCCGUUAGUGCUGCUUUCCCCGGCUGCUUCUUGGGCGGAGGAGGGAGCUCGGUCCAUCUGUUCGCCCAGCCGCCUGGAUCCAUGGGGACAUGUCCACGAUUCAAUGCCCACCCGACGUUGUCACCAAGGGUGA
rnacentral:rRNA from 1 species